rnacentral:rRNA from 1 species
GCAAGUCGAACGGUAACAUGAAAGCUUGCUUUUGAUGACGAGUGGCGCACGGGUGCGUAACGCGUAUGCAAUCUACCCUUUACUGGAGAAUAGCCCUUGGAAACGAGGAAUAAUACUCCAUAGUAUAACAAUUUCGCAUGUUAUUGUUAUUAAAGCUUCGGCGGUAGAGGAUGAGCAUGCGUCCCAUUAGUUAGUUGGUAAGGUAACGGCUUACCAAGACUAUGAUAGGUAGGGGUUCUGAGAGGACAAUC